AAAUGACGAGAUACUUCCCCUCAUUCUCACAGUCAGUUAAAAAUUGUCAACCCACUGCACUCGAGUGUGUUUAUUAUAAAAUAUUCCAUUAGUGUUAUAUCACUAAUAUCACUUCAUACCACUCCACUAAUGUGAGCUUAAUGAUAUUUUACUUAUACUUACCUAAAUAAUAUGAUUAUACUUAUCGCGCAUAAAAAUAACUAUAUCGUAUAUAUAACACACUAGUACAUAAUCUAUUCAAAAUUGGUAUACAGAUCUUACUUGCCCGAAAUUGAACAAAAUUUAACAGAGUCAGCAAGUGCAACAAAUAUCAAUCCAUUCUAACAAGUAUCCAUCUAACAAUUAUCAAUUUAAACGCAACAAUUUUAAUUUCAAAAGCAAUUAUUUUCCUCCGUUUCUUCAAAGAAGCAAAGAUUCCUGUUUCACCUGUGCGUAGGACAAAGGGAACUUUUUCCAGGAUAACCAGUUCCUCAAGGACAGUGAUAUGAACGUCCAGAUCAGACCAGCAAGGCACAAUCUUCGAAACCCAUAUACAUCUGCUUCACUUUCAUAAAUUCUUUCAGGUUCGGUUAAUCGAGCAAUUACUCGUUUGCCUUGAAACUCCACCUCGCCUUGUGUACACGAGCAAGAUUUGCUUUUGAUUUUACUGUGCUACAGUUUAAAACAGGUAAUAUUGUGGGAUAGAAUAGCAAUAUUAUCCACUGAUUUUCAACUUUGACAAACUUUUGUGGAGUUACAAGAUAACCGUAGUCCGCCAUUUUAGAGUUUAGCUGCUUGUGUUGCAGGAAAAUGUGAAUAAUUUUGUUCAGUGUUCACAAGUUUAUUUUACGAUUUCAAGAAAGAUAAGAGUAACGAGCCAUAGUGCCACGUAGAAGAGGAUGUGCAUCAAUAUGCAGACGUACACGUUGUCCAACACGUACGCCCGUAUGAACGACUGGGACGUAAUAAGAUGGGAAUCAGUUAGAAAUCACAGGAGUACGGGGUGUGAUUUAACAAGAUUUACUUGACGAUCGUAUAUGUCAACGAGACUGAGGAUCGGAUAGGAUCUCGUCAGCCGAGAGAAGUAGCUCCGCCUUUGCAUGAACAUCUUCGCGGAUGCAAUCCAUUAGUUGGCUGAAGAGGCUCCCAUAUUGUUCGCAGAAAAUUUUUCUGAUGUACAUGCUGUGUAAACCUUCUCUACUAUGGCGUGACACAUAUACUUGAAGAUGGAGCUUGAAGAACGUGGAGUUUAUGAAUCAUCGGAAGGUAUGGCUUUAACCUAAAUGCAGUUCACGGAAAUGCAGAAAACCUAACCUAAAUGCAGUUUAUAGAAAUCGAUUGUACAAUCAUAGUAUUUUUCUCUCUAGCUAGCACAAUACUGAUAACAUAAUUAUGCUAAUUGGCUCAUUUUACAUUAAAAAAAGCCAUAGCAAACGUUCUAUGAAAACAGAAUAUUUAACAUAAAUUAUGAAACCCCAUAUGUAUAUAAUAUUUAAAGUUUCAUUUGAAUACAUUAUACAAAUCUGUUGUAAUAAUAGAGUCAUAAUACGUUAACUAAUAGCUUGCCUUUUCAUUA
rnacentral:lncRNA from 1 species